CUGGGCGCAGCCUGAUCCAGCCAUGCCGCGUGCAGGAUGACGGUCCUAUGGAUUGUAAACUGCUUUUAUACGAGAAGAAACACUGCUUCGUGAAGCAGCUUGACGGUAUCGUAAGAAUAAGGAUCGGCUAACUCCGUGCCAGCAGCCGCGGUAAUACGGAGGAUCCAAGCGUUAUCCGGAAUCAUUGGGUUUAAAGGGUCCGUAGGCGGUUUAAUAAGUCAGUGGUGAAAGCCCAUCGCUCAACGGUGGAACGGCCAUUGAUACUGUUAGACUUGAAUUAUUAGGAAGUAACUAGAAUAUGUAGUGUAGCGGUGAAAUGCUUAGAGAUUACAUGGAAUACCAAUUGCGAAGGCAGGUUACUACUAAUGGAUUGACGCUGAUGGACGAAAGCGUGGGUAGCGAACAGGAUUAGAUACCCUGGUAGUCCACGCCGUAAACGAUGGAUACUAGCUGUUGGAAGCAAUUUCAGUGGCUAAGCGAAAGUGAUAAGUAUCCCACCUGGGGAGUACGUUCGCAAGAAUGAAACUCAAAGGAAUUGACGGGGGCCCGCACAAGCGGUGGAGCAUGUGGUUUAAUUCGAUGAUACGCGAGGAACCUUACCAGGCUUAA
rnacentral:rRNA from 1 species